CUGCGAUAAGCGCCGGUAAGGUGAUAUGAACCGUUAUAACCGGCGAUACCCGAAUGGGGAAACCCAGUGUGACUCGUCACACUAUCAUUAACUGAAUCCAUAGGUUAAUGAGGCGAACCGGGGGAACUGAAACAUCUAAGUACCCCGAGGAAAAGAAAUCAACCGAGAUUCCCCCAGUAGCGGCGAGCGAACGGGGAGGAGCCCAGAGCCUGAAUCAGCAUGUGUGUUAGUGGAAGCGUCUGGAAAGGCGCGCGAUACAGGGUGACAGCCCCGUACACAAAAGCGCAUGUGCUGUGAGCUCGAUGAGUAGGGCGGGACACGUGGUAUCCUGUCUGAAUAUGGGGGGACCAUCCUCCAAGGCUAAAUACUCCUGACUGACCGAUAGUGAACCAGUACCGUGAGGGAAAGGCGAAAAGAACCCCGGCGAGGGGAGUGAAAAAGAACCUGAAACCGUGUACGUACAAGCAGUGGGAGCACCCUUUGGGGUGUGACUGCGUACCUUUUGUAUAAUGGGUCAGCGACUUAUAUUCUGUAGCAAGGUUAACCGAAUAGGGGAGCCGGAGGGAAACCGAGUCUUAAUUGGGCGUUAAGUUGCAGGGUAUAGACCCGAAACCCGGUGAUCUAGCCAUGGGCAGGUUGAAGGUUGGGUAACACUAACUGGAGGACCGAACCGACUAAUGUUGAAAAAUUAGCGGAUGACCUGUGGCUGGGGGUGAAAGGCCAAUCAAACCGGGAGAUAGCUGGUUCUCCCCGAAAGCUAUUUAGGUAGCGCCUCGUGAAUUCAUCUCCGGGGGUAGAGCACUGUUUCGGCUAGGGGGCCAUCCCGGCUUACCAACCCGAUGCAAACUGCGAAUACCGGAGAAUGUUAUCACGGGAGACACACGGCGGGUGCUAACGUCCGUCGUGAAGAGGGAAACAACCCAGACCGCCAGCUAAGGUCCCAAAGUCAUGGUUAAGUGGGAAACGAUGUGGGAAGGCCCAGACAGCCAGGAUGUUGGCUUAGAAGCAGCCAUCAUUUAAAGAAAGCGUAAUAGCUCACUGGUCGAGUCGGCCUGCGCGGAAGAUGUAACGGGGCUAAACCAUGCACCGAAGCUGCGGCAGCGACGCUGAUGCGUUGUUGGGUAGGGGAGCGUUCUGUAAGCCUGCGAAGGUGGCCUGUGAGGGUUGCUGGAGGUAUCAGAAGUGCGAAUGCUGACAUAAGUAACGAUAAAGCGGGUGAAAAGCCCGCUCGCCGGAAGACCAAGGGUUCCUGUCCAACGUUAAUCGGGGCAGGGUGAGUCGACCCCUAAGGCGAGGCCGAAAGGCGUAGUCGAUGGGAAACGGGUUAAUAUUCCCGUACUUGGUGUUACUGCGAAGGGGGGACGGAGAAGGCUAUGUUGGCCGGGCGACGGUUGUCCCGGUUUAAGCGUGUAGGUGUGUGUUCCAGGUAAAUCCGGUUCACUUUAACAC
rnacentral:rRNA from 1 species